GUCAUGGUAGUUUCAAACUAAACCGCUAGGCUGUGGCCCUAACUAUAGAAAGAACAAAACUAUUUAAUCCU
rnacentral:tRNA from 1 species